rnacentral:rRNA from 1 species
AUGGCGCAUGGUCAACCUUCGGUUUCCUCCUAUCAGUUGACCUUAUUUGAAUUAGCUAAACAACAGUUGUGUGAGCCAGCAACUCAUGAAUUGGCUAACCCGGUACUUGUCCAUUCAACAUUACCACGGGGAACUUUGGAUUCUUCCCUCCGCGGAUGGCAUUCUGAGCAUUCGUUUCACGCCUUGUGUUACCAUCCAAUGGCACCCAUUCCUAGAGCUGAUCUAGACUUCACUUUAGGGACCAGGAUAGUAUCACAAAAAUUGGGUUGGGAGUAUCAUGAAAUCCAGUAUGUCAAACGUCCAAAGGGUUAUACUCAAUGGGGUGUUGAGGUCUUAAACAAUCAUUAUUUUAAUCUGCAAGGGGGCGAAGAAAAUACAGACUCUAUUCGUGGCGCCAUUUAUUGUUCCCUUUGCGAUUAUCCUGUCAGCCCCUCU